rnacentral:rRNA from 1 species
ACGCCAUACCACCCUGAACUCGCCCGAUCUUGUCUGAUCUCGGAAGCUAAGCAGGGUCGGGCCUGGUUAGUACUUGGAUGGGAGAAUAAGGAAUGUU